rnacentral:lncRNA from 1 species
CUAAGAGAGACCGAACUUGGCUGACUGUCAUCGAGCUCUGAUGUCACCACUGAAGGUUAGAGACAUGGAGGAAGAAAGAAAACGAAAGGGCUAAUAACGCAAAGGAAACGUGAACAGCGAUGGAGUUCCAAAACUAGCAGUAUCUCUGGUAUCAAACAAGCCAGUCACUGCACCCGACCAGCCACUUCCCCAUGCUAAGAUGUACCAUAGCAGACCUCAGCCUUCCAGCCUCCUCAGCCUCCUCUGCCCCUCCUAUCAGCAGCCCAAACAGAAAG